UACGAAGGGGGCUAGCGUUGCUCGGAAUUACUGGGCGUAAAGGGUUCGUAGGCGGUGUGGCAAGUCGGUAGUGAAAUCUCCAGGCUUAACUUGGAGGCUGCUGCCGAAACUGCCGUGCUAGAGUGCAGGAGAGGCGAGUGGAAUUACAGGUGUAGCGGUGAAAUGCGUAGAUAUCUGUAGGAACACCCGUGGCGAAGGCGGCUCGCUGGACUGCAACUGACGCUGAGGAACGAAAGCUAGGGGAGCAAACAGG
rnacentral:rRNA from 1 species